CCAACCUGCAUUAUGUGUGUGUGGGAGGGGGGGGGGGGGUCAUCGGAGUCAUAUAAGCAUUUAUUUUAUUUUAUUUACACAGUAUUAGUUUGAUUAUGAAUUAAUAUCUUUGGUUAUUUUUACAGGUUUGGGUAAGUGGAGUACCCAGUGUCUAGCCACCCUUCUGCGCCAUGACUGAAUUCAUAUAAGCAUCCCAGCCAACUACAGUGAGUGACAUGGGCAUUGUUGGCACUGUCACUUUUACAAGAAGUGAAGAAAGGUCCUGGGCCUAUGGUUUGGGCGUAUAGCACAUGUAUCAAAUGAAAUCUUUAAAGAUUUGAAUAAUUUUUUAAAAGUCAUGACUGUACUACAGCGACUCCCUGAAUAAGAAUUAAUGGUAACUAAUGAAAUUAAUCAAGUAUUUUCUAUUCUCACAGAGUCCUCCGUAUAUAUUACAUUGUGAUACGAAAAGAUUAACAUGGUCUUGGUGCCUCCCGACUCUGUAAAGCAGGCAUCGGCAACGAAACAAGCUACAUCAAUACGACGAGUCAUUUCUAACUUUCUAAAUGAUAUACAUAAGUUAUGUAAAUACCUUUCAUCAAAUCGAUCUAAACCAUCGAAAGUUAAUUAUACAUUAUAUACUUAUACUAAAUUAUGCUAUUGAGGGAGAAGGGGUUAUAGGUUUUUCUUUUAUUUUCUAGUUGUAAUGAGUUAAUUUUUUUCUUCUCUCCCUUUUUCUUUUUGCUUGUCCAGAAAGAUAAAAAGAUCUUCUUUUUUUUUUCUUUUCUUUUUUUAAACAUGGAUCCGCCCCUUUGGGGCAACACUACACGGCAAUACAGGUACGACCUAUCAAGUACUAACACUUCCUGUUCAUGUGUACAACAUCCUGUUUCGAUUUCAUUUACCAACGCCAACAGCAUAAUUUUUUGUUCCUUAUUGACAUAGGACAUUGAAAAGGCCAUGUUUGACUGGGAUUGGCGCGAGAUGCUUACAAGCAUGAUAAAAUGGGCAGCGACAGAUCCUUGGAAUUUUGUGUACUAUGUGCUUUUGUGUUUAUCACCUUUGUUCCUGAUCAGUGCUAUACUUGCCUGGAAUUUAGCCAAACAAAUUGAGGCAAAAGAAAAGGAUCAAAAGAAGAAAGCAAAACGCGAGGCCAACAUCAACAAAAUCAAGAGACAACAAAAGUCUAAAAAGGCAGACUAAUACUAACACAGUGAACAAAGCAGAGAAAUGAUUGAAGAAUGUGUCAGGGAAAAUGUGCUAUGUAAUUUCAAUCUUAAAGUGAGUUACUUGAAGACAAAUUUUGAUUUAAAUGUGUUCGUAUAAUUUGCAAGUAACACAUGCAUAUAUGUAUUGUAUCAUUUAAAUUAAGAUUCAUGUAUGUAAAUAAAAAAUUUCUAGACCUGUGGUGGUACAAUUAUGUUUCAGAAGGCUGAUUGACUAUAUUAUUUUUAUAUUAUCAGUGUACAUGAUAUUUACACCUUACUUUAAUUUCAAUGUUGAUGGGCUUUGUUUUGUUUUUUAAUAUUUUUCUUAACAAAAUAAAUCAUUUCCAUUAUU